rnacentral:lncRNA from 1 species
GGGACCACCUCCCGUGCCCACACACGAGUGCCCACAGGAUUUGGAGUAAAUUUCUCCCCGAGCACAAGCCCUGCUCAGAGAACCUCUUAGCACCGGCGGCCAAGCACUGGCCCCACUCCCGUCCCAGCCCAACAGCAGCUAUAGACAGAGACAGAUUACAGCCCCUCCCCCACCCAGAGGGAGCUCCUUAAAUGAGGUACCUGGGAAAGGAAAAGGGGGCCCAAAGCCCAGGGGGGCUGCCCAGAGGGCAGGGGCCAGGUGUCAGAGGGCAGGACUGCAGCCCUGAGGGGGGCUGGCAGAGGUGUCCUGUGCUCCCGACGAGGGAGAUGUGGGGGGGGUCGUCAUCCCUCCACCCAGAUGCAGCUGGAGGGGACCUACCACAUGCCAGGUGCUGUGCCUGGCCUGGGGACACAGGUGACUAUGGCUGACACAUGCCUGGCUGGGAAGGAGAUGGCACGAACAAGUGUGUCCAGGAGGAAGAGUGCCACCCACGAGGAAGCCAGUUCCCUGAGGACAGAACCCAGUGGGGGGCGAUCCUCCGGACAGAGAGUGACUCCUCCACAGGGGAUACCCCACUUCUUGGCAGGGGCGCUCCCAAA